AUGGAAAUCCAGGCUGUAGUAGAACAUGAGCCCCUAGACAAAUGGGUGGAGUGGGAAGCCCAUUCCGCGGAGGAAAUGAGGAAGGAACACCACCCUCUCAUGGGGCCCGGGGGUGGGGAUGAUCUGCCCCUCGUUGGGGAGUCGGUGCGCGAUAUCGCUAGACAAGUAUCCGGCCUUGCGCAACCUCUUGAUGUGCCCCUCCAUGACGGAGGAGGCCAUACACUUGCCUCCCGCUCCAGAGAUGGUUGGGGAAGGUUGAGGUGGGAUGUGCUGACUUGGGCGCUGGAGCUCGAGUGUGCAGAGAUGGAUAAGCGAAGGAUGAAGAAGGCGUAG
rnacentral:rRNA from 1 species